CCUACUCAGGAGGCUGAGGCAGGAGAAUCGUUUGAACCCAGCAGACGGAGAUUGCAGUGAGCUGAGACCGCACCAUUGCACUCCAGCCUGGAUGAGAGAGCAAGACUCCGUCUCAAAAAAAUUUAAGAACUCAUUUAUAAAGGAACAUGGUUGGGAUGUGAAGAGCUCCUUUAACAUGGCACAGAGUCUGGUGACUGGAAGGUCUAGAAGUAUAUCAGAGGAAAGGAAAAAUUAAUGGAUAAUGACCAGAUUUUACAUCCACCUAAUGGCUUGGAAUGUUCCAGUGCCAAGAGAAGGCCUUCUUGUCGCAUGUGAUUUCAUAAUAAUUAGGGCCAGCUGUGUCUGUGCGAAUCAGGUCAAGCCAGAUGCCAAACCCUAACUCAAACACUUACAGGAAGAUCCUCAUUGCCAGGAGCCUCAAACGUCCUGCAGAAAAUCAAAAAAAGCAUCUGCCUCCUGUGUCCCCUCUUUCCCUGUUGUACGGCUAACACCAGAUCCCAGUCUCUUCAGUGGCACUCAACUUUUUCAAGUCACAAGAUGGAAGCGCUUUGGAAGAGGAGUAAAGGACCUGGACUCUGAUUCCAUGCCACCGCAAACUCGGGCAGGCACUUCAAAGCAGAGAGUCUCAUUUUCCACUUCUGAAAAACACAUGGUCUAGAUGAGCUCUAAGUCCUUUGCACUCAAUAAUUUCACAGUCUUUUUUAUUAUUAAUAUUAUUUUCAAUUGAAAAAUCAUAAUUGUAUAUUUAUGGGGUACAAUGUGAUGUUUUGAUAUAUGUAUUCAAUAAGGAAUUAUUAAAUCAAGAUAAUUAACAUAUCCAUCAUCUCACUUGCCUAUCAUUUAAAAAAAUUUGCCUA
rnacentral:lncRNA from 1 species